UCCUGAUUAAAAUUUAUUUUCUGAAUCUAUAAUUCUCUUGCAGUUGCAAUACUAUACCAAAGCUUUUCCCAAAGUACUAAUAAACCAGCAACUGUGUAAAAUUAUUACGCCACAUGGCUCCACCGAACAAAUUGGAUACAUGGGUAAUGUUACAAUUGCACUUGGAAUAACACAAAUAACAUAAUACUGCAAAACCAGAGUCUGAGAUAAAUGAUAACUUGGAAGUCAGUCCCUUCUCAAUAAUAUUAACAAUAUUACAUUAAGACCAAAUUAUCCAAAAACUAAAACAGUCGAGGCCACAAAACUAUCAAACAUUGUUAGAUAAUCCAAUAUCCUUUCAAUUGGACCAAAUUAUUAAUCCGCAACACCAUGUUGUCUCUCUCAUUAGUCUCAUACGUACAGGCAAGGGCAUAAACUGCAAAUAAUCCAGGAAGACCACUGCU
rnacentral:lncRNA from 1 species